rnacentral:rRNA from 1 species
AUUGAACGCUGGCGGCAUGCCUUACACAUGCAAGUCGAACGGCAGCACGGGGCAACCUGGUGGCGAGUGGCGAACGGGUGAGUAAUGCAUCGGAACGUACCUUUCAGUGGGGGAUAACGUAGCGAAAGUUACGCUAAUACCGCAUAUUCUGUGAGCAGGAAAGCAGGGGAUCGCAAGACCUUGCGCUGAUUGAGCGGCCGAUGUCAGAUUAGCUAGUUGGUGAGGUAAAGGCUCACCAAGGCGACGAUCUGUAGCGGGUCUGAGAGGAUGAUCCGCCACACUGGAACUGAGACACGGUCCAGACUCCUACGGGAGGCAGCAGUGGGGAAUUUUGGACAAUGGGGGCAAACCUGAUUCAGCCAUGCCGCGUGAGUGAAGAAGGCCUUCGGGUUGUAAAGCUCUUUCGGCCGGGAAGAAAUCGCACGGGCUAAUACCCUGUGUGGAUGACGGUACCGGAAUAAGAAGCACCGGCUAACUACGUGCCAGCAGCCGCGGUAAAAC